UACGUAGGGGGCAAGCGUUGUCCGGAUUUAUUGGGCGUAAAGCGCGCGUAGGCGGCCACCGCAAGUCGACUGUGAAAUCUCCGGGCUUAACCCGGAAAGGUCAGCCGAUACUGCGGGGCUAGAGUGCAGAAGGGGCAACUGGAAUUCUCGGUGUAGCGGUGAAAUGCGUAGAUAUCGAGAGGAACACCUGCGGCGAAGGCGGGUUGCUGGGCUGACACUGACGCUGAUGCGCGAAAGCUAGGGGAGCGAACGGG
rnacentral:rRNA from 1 species